GCCUUCCUAGCUCAGUGGUAGAGCAACGGUUUUGUAAACCGUCGACCCGGGUCCGAUUCCCAGGGAAGGCU
rnacentral:tRNA from 2 species